rnacentral:lncRNA from 1 species
GUCAAUAUGUUGGUCACUACGGAUGGUACCUUGAAGAGUUCAAGAGGCUCUGUUCUUGCUGUGAAGCGGACUUCUUCUUUCAAGAAAUAGUCUGUUAGAAGGAAGAAGACUAAAUCUGUAAAGAAGCAGAAGAAAGAGAGCAAGCCAACAAAAGAUAGUCCAAAGGUGGCUGAGGCAAAGAAAAAAUAUUUUCACUAUCAUGCUGAAGG